GACAACGUGGCCUAAUGGACAAGGCGUCUGACUUCGGAUCAGAAGAUUGAGGUUCGAGUCCCUUCGUAGUGA
rnacentral:tRNA from 1 species